rnacentral:lncRNA from 1 species
GUGUAAGGCUCCGAAAAUCUAGCUCAGUUAACACAGCUGGCAAGUGAUACCUCUAGUUUUCAAACCCAGCCAUCUGAACUCUAGCGUCAGCACUGUCUCCUUCUAUUCCAAAGAUCCAGACAUCGCGAAUGUUCUCAGGCCCUAUCAGAGGGAUGCUCCUGGGCUGGCAGAGACUUCCAGGGGAAUGAGAUUAUGGGUGUCUCUAAUCUACCAUCAUCUGGCUCCAGAGCAGUGGGAUUAUUGGAGACAAGGCCACACAACAAGAGUUGGCAAACUAUUGCCCAUGAGCCAAAUCCAGCCUGUGUUCUUGCGACCAAAUUGCUUCUCCCAGAGGAGUGUUGGGAAAUAUGACCGGCCAGGACCUUGGGGUCACCUCAGGAGAUGCCUGUGGCACUGCUGGGGGACACCCAACUCACUAACAAGGACAGUGACUAAGAGCAGAGCACUCACUGUGGCUUCCCAAACUCUUCACCACCCAGGAUAUCAUUUUAUUUUGUUCUGUUUGUUUUUCAGUCCUCAGAGACUUCACGUUUUGAAAACUGGUAUCUGUCAAUUAAAGUACAUUGAUUAAGCA